GAAGAAGAACGCAGCGAAAUGCGAUAAGUAAUGUGAAUUGCAGAAUUCAGUGAAUCAUCGAAUCUUUGAACGCACAUUGCGCCCCCUGGUAUUCCGGGGGGCAUGCCUGUUCGAGCGUCAUUUCACCACUCAAGCCUCGCUUGGUAUUGGGCAACGCGGUCCGCCGCGUGCCUCAAAUCGACCGGCUGGGUCUUCUGUCCCCUAAGCGUUGUGGAAACUAUUCGCUAAAGGGUGCUCGGGAGGCUACGCCGUAAAACAAACCCAUUUCUAAGGUUGACCUCGGAUCAGGUAGGGAUACCCGCUGAACUUAAGCAUAUCAAUAAGCGGAGGA
rnacentral:misc_RNA from 1 species